UGUUCGAAAGGAACGAUUGGAGGGCAAGUCUGGUGUCAGCAGCUGCAGUAACUCCAGCUCCGAUAGCGUAAGCUAAAUUUGUUGCGGACGAAAAGCUCGUAGUCGGAUCUCAGCCCGGGACGGUGGGGCGCGUCAGCGCUUCUUCCGGUCUCACGGGCUCUGCCCUUUUUCCGAACCGCGAUCUUAACCGGUCGUGGCGCGGGGUCCGGUCAGUUUACCUUGAAGAAACUGAAUUGCUCAAAGCAGGCCUGUCGCCCGCACAAGGAUGCAUGGAAUAAUGCAAGAGGACCUCGGUUCUAUUGUGUUGGUUUUCGGAACCGGAGGUAAUGAUCGAUAGGAACAGACGGGGGCAUUCGUACUGAUACGCUAGAGGUGAAAUUCUUGGACCGUCGCAGGACGAACUACUGCGAUAGCAUUUGCCAAGAAUGUUUUCAUUGACCAAGAACGAAAGUCAGAGGUUCGAAGGCGAUCAGAUACCACCGUAGUUCUGUCCGUAAACUAUGCCAGCCAGCGAUCCGGUGCUGUUUCAGAAAGGACACGCCGGGCAGCUUCCGGGAAACCAGAGCUUCUGGGUUCCGGGGGAAGUAUGGUUGCAAAACUGAAACUUAAAGGAAUUGACGAAAGGGUACAACCAGGGAUGGAUUCUGCGGCUCAAUUUGACUCAACACGGGUAAACUCUCCCGGUCCGGACACGGCGAGGAUUGACAGAUUAAUGGCUCUUUCUUGAUUCCGUGGGUGGUAUUGCAUGGCCGUUUUUAGUUCGUGGGCAUGACCUGUCUGGUUAAUUACAAUAACGAGCGAGACUCUUGCCUGCUAAAUAGGCUGUUCCGUGAUAUUUCACGGAGAGAUAAUCUUCUUAGAGGAACAAGCGGUUUCGAGCCGCACGAAAAAGAGCAAAAACAGGUCAGUGAUGCCCUUAGAUGUCCGGGGCCGCACGCGCAAUACAAUGAAGGCGACAGCGUGUGCUUCUUUUCCCUGGCCGAGAAGUCCGGGCAACCCGAUGAAACGCCUUCGUGCUGGGGAUAGGGGACUGUAACUGGCCCCUUGAACGAGGAAUCCCCAGUAGACUCGAUUCAUUAACUCGUGCCGAUUAAGUCCCUGCCCUUUGUACACUUUGUAAUACCGAUUGAGUGGAUCGGUGAGGUCUUCGGACCUGCGCCUCCGUUCCUUCACGGAAAAGGGGUGUCCGAAAGAUGAUCGAACUCGAUCACGUAGAGGAAUUACAAGUCGUAAUAUAGUUUCCGUAGGUGAACCUGCGGAAGAAUCAUU